GAACAAGGAACCAGAGCUCGCCUGUUUCCAGCCAGAGUCGCACGGGGGUCCCCAAAGACGCUUGAACCUUUUCCCAAGCCCCACUCCACCUUCCAAAACGGGGGGGCUCAGGUGGACGCGAAAGGACACAAGGCGCUGCCCCCAGCACCCCGGAAAAUCUAGUGUGGCGGCAAAUGACCGCAGGUCACACACCCCGGCCUCGGGGGCCACGGAAAACGGACGCACCCGGCCCAGGACAGGCAGUGGGGCCCAGGAGGGGACUGCCGGGAAGACCCGGGCGGGCCGGCGGGCGGCUGCGGGCGGCGCACGUGGGCCCAGGUGGGCGCAGCGACGGGCCCGGCCGAAGAGCCCGAGACAGGCCCUGCGAAGGCGGAAGCCCGGACCCGGGCUCUCCUGGCCGCCCCUGGAGCUCAGAGGGAGACUGCGCUUCGCCCCGGGGGCAGGGGCAGGAGCGCGAUCGCGCGCGGGGCCCCCGGGGUGUGAUUAGCAGGCGCCGCGAGCCGGGAGGACCCCCCAGCCCGCCCUGGCAGCCAGCACCCUCUCCACACCCGCCCAGAGUGGCCGCUUUUGACCGCCGUCCCCUCCCACCCUAGACUCCUCCCCUCAGCCCCACGGCCCGAGGCCGAGCGGUUUCAGCGACCCUGGGACCGCCGGGCCUGGCUGGAGUCCACCCCUGGACACCUGUCAGGGUCGGGCCCCGGCGCUGUAAACCCGCGUCUACACCCGCGCCCAGCCCCCGCGCAAUGGGGAUCGGGGGCGGCGACUUGGGUUCGGGUCAGGGAGGCCGCCGGCUGCUACCUGCUCGGCCACCUGCUCCGCUGCCUAGGUUCUCCCUGCGCGUCCCCAGCCAAGAAAGGGACCCGGAGUCCGGGCGUCGGGAUAGCUCCUGUCCCCGAUCUUGCGCCCCCGGCUCCCGCGGGGCUCCGGUCCGGGGUCCCGCCCAGGUCUCCGCGGUCCCCACUCGGAGGGGCACAGAGACAAAGGCGGCAGAGCAGCCCGCCCGUCCCCGAGGGUCACCCACCGGCGCUGCGCUCGUUGCUCCGAGGCCGAGGGGCGCCGCGGGGUCCAAGGCCCUGCUCCGCCUGCCCAGGCCCGGGCAGGCUGGUCUCGGCUUCAAGCGCCCACGCGCGGGGUCCCCGGGCAGCCUGCUU
rnacentral:lncRNA from 1 species